UCACAUAAACGUGAAAUUAAUUCACCAAUAAAUAACUCUACUACUAAAAAAAUAUGUGGAGAAAAUAGGCAAAAAUCAAUUUAUUUAUGAACUAUAGCAUCUUGAAUCAUCUUCACCUUCUUCUUAGAGAAAUAAAACAAGAAACAGCAGCAAAAAUAAUGGCCAUAGCAAUGGAACUCACAUCAUCAAUAAUGGCUGCAAAUCUCAUUUCUUGAAGAUCCCAAAGAGUUGAAACACAUAUACACAACCCUUCAACUACUACUAUCAACACUGCCAUUGCUUCUGCUGCCUCUGCCUCUGCCUAUCAACACAUUUAACUUCAGCAGAAAAAUUUAAAGAAAAAAAAAAGAAUGCCAAAAUAAGAUAAAAAAAGAAUUUGAAAUUGAU
rnacentral:lncRNA from 1 species